CCUGGUGAUCAUAGCGAAGAGGUUCCACCCGUUCCCAUUCCGAACACGGAAGUUAAGCUCUUCAGCGCCGAUGGUACUGCCUCUGGUGGAGGCGGGAGAGUAGGUCGUCGCCAGGC
rnacentral:rRNA from 1 species